rnacentral:rRNA from 1 species
CCUACGGGAGGCAGCAGUGAGGAAUAUUGGUCAAUGGGCGUAAGCCUGAACCAGCCAAGUCGCGUGAGGGAUGACGGUCCUAUGGGUUGUAAACUUCUUUUAUAUGGGAAUAAAGUGUGGGAUGUGUACUGUUUUGCAUGUACCUUAUGAAUAAGGAUCGGCUAACUCCGUGCCAGCAGCCGCGGUAAUACGGAGGAUCCGAGCGUUAUCCGGAUUUAUUGGGUUUAAAGGGUGCGUAGGCGGCCUGUUAAGUCAGUGGUGAAAGUUUGUGGCUCAACCGUAGAAUUGCAGUUGAUACUGGGAUGCUUGAGUAUGUUUGAGGCAGGCGGAAUGCGUGGUGUAGCGGUGAAAUGCUUAGAUAUCACGAAGAACCCCGAUUGCGAAGGCAGCCUGC